GAUGAACGCUGGCGGCGUGCCUAAUACAUGCAAGUCGAGCGAACAGAUGAGAAGCUUGCUUCUCUGAUGUUAGCGGCGGAUGGGUGAGUAACACGUGGGUAACCUACCUAUAAGACUGGGAUAACUCCGGGAAACCGGGGCUAAUACCGGAUAAUAUUUUGAACCGCAUGGUUCAAUAGUGAAAGACGGUUUCGGCUGUCACUUAUAGAUGGACCCGCGCCGUAUUAGCUAGUUGGUAAGGUAACGGCUCACCAAGGCGACGAUACGUAGCCGACCUGAGAGGGUGAUCGGCCACACUGGAACUGGGACACGGUCCAGACUCCUACGGGAGGCAGCAGUAGGGAAUCUUCCGCAAUGGGCGAAAGCCUGACGGAGCAACGCCGCGUGAGUGAUGAAGGUCUUCGGAUCGUAAAACUCUGUUGUUAGGGAAGAGCAAAUUUGUUAGUAACUGAACAAGUCUUGACGGUACCUAACCAGAAAGCCACGGCUAACUACGUGCCAGCAGCCGCAGUAA
rnacentral:rRNA from 1 species